rnacentral:rRNA from 1 species
UACGUAGGGGGCGAGCGUUGUCCGGAGUUACUGGGCGUAAAGGGCACGCAGGCGGUCAUGUAAGUCUGUUCUGACAGCUCCUGGCUCAACCGGGAGAGGCGAACGGAAACUGUAUGACUUGAGGACUUCAGAGGGACACGGAAUUCCGGGUGGAGUGGUGAAAUGCGUAGAGAUCCGGAGGAACACCAAAGGCGAAGGCAGUGUCCUGGGAAGUACCUGACGCUCAGGUGCGAAAGCCAGGGGAGCGAACGGG